AAUGAACGUUGGCGGCGUGGAUUUGGCAUGCAAGUCGAGCGAGAAUGGUUUGGUAGCUUGCUAUUGAACCAGGAAAGCGGCGAAAGGGAGAGUAACGCGUAGUUACGUGCCCCAGGGUUCGGAAUAGCCACGGGAAACUGUGGGUAAUGCCGAAUAACAUCUCCGGAUCAAAGGUGUGAUUCCGCCCUGGGAGCGGACUGCGUCCUACUAGCUAGUUGGCGGGGUAAUGGCCCACCAAGGCAACAUUGGGUAGCGGGUGUGAGAGCAUGACCCGUCUCACUGGGACUGAGACACUGCCCAGACACCUACGGGUGGCUGCAGUCGAGAAUCUUCGGCAAUGGGCGAAAGCCUGACCGAGCGACGCCGCGUGCGGGAUGAAGGCCCUCGGGUUGUAAACCGCUGUCGUAGGGGAGGAAGGCUUCGUGAAGAACGAGGUUUGACCUAUCCUAGGAGGAAGUACGGGCUAAGUUCGUGCCAGCCGCCGCCGUAAGAC
rnacentral:rRNA from 1 species